UACGUAGGGUGCAAGCGUUAAUCGGAAUUACUGGGCGUAAAGCGUGCGCAGGCGGUUUUGUAAGUCUGUCGUGAAAGCCCCCGGCUCAACUGGGGAGGGUCACGCGAUACUGAUCGACUCGAAGGCAGGAGAGGGUAGUGGAAUUCCCGGUGUAGUGGUGAAAUGCGUAGAUAUCGGGAGGAACACCAGUGGCGAAGGCGACUACCUGGCCUGUUCUUGACGCUGAGGCGCGAAAGCUAGGGGAGCAAACGGG
rnacentral:rRNA from 1 species